rnacentral:lncRNA from 1 species
GGUUGAUUUGAAUCUAAAAUUGACCAUUAGCCUAACCAACCUGCUCGGUUAUAUGACUAAUAGCUCUCACCAUUUAAGGCUAAAAAAUAUAGCGAACACCGAUCCUGAUGCUCUCUUUCUUCUUUUCCAGCGAUACAAUUUACUUUGCAGGGUUGUAUUUGCCCUUAUAAAAAGAUGCCCCAUUGUAGUGGACUCCCAUCUGCAUGUCCUGCUCCUUCUCCGAGAGACCUCUCGAUGCUGUGGCCCC